AAACUCGCCUAUAUGAAGUCGGAAUUGCUAGUAAUCGCGGAUCAGCAUGCCGCGGUGAAUACGUUCCCGGGCCUUGUACACACCGCCCGUCACACCAUGAGAGUUGGGAAUACCCGAAGCCUGUGAGCUAACUUAACGGAGGCAGCAGUCGAAGGUAGAAUCAAUGAUUGGGGUGAAGUCGUAACAAGGUACC
rnacentral:rRNA from 1 species